UACGGAGGGUGCGAGCGUUGUCCGGAUUUAUUGGGUUUAAAGGGUGCGUAGGCGGUCUGGUAAGUCGGCGAUGAAAGCCCGGGGCUCAACCCCGGAACCUGUCGUCGAUACUGUCGGACUUGAAUAGAGUGGAGGCUGGCGGAAUGGGCGGUGUAGCGGUGAAAUGCAUAGAUACCGUCCAGAACCCCGAUUGCGAAGGCAGCUGGCCUGUACUCUUAUUGACGCUGAGGCACGAAAGCGUGGGGAGCGAACAGG
rnacentral:rRNA from 1 species